UGUAUGUGGUGUAGUGGUUUGAGUGCUGGACUACAACUCUAGAGAUCUGGAUUUGAAUCCCUGCUUGGCAA